AUUGAACGCUGGCGGCAGGCUUAACACAUGCAAGUCGAGCGGAGAGAGGUAGCUUGCUACUGAUCUUAGCGGCGGACGGGUGAGUAAUGCUUAGGAAUCUGCCUAUUAGUGGGGGACAACAUUUCGAAAGGAAUGCUAAUACCGCAUACGUCCUACGGGAGAAAGCAGGGGAUCUUCGGACCUUGCGCUAUUGGAUGAGCCCAAGUCGGAUUAGCUAGUUGGUGGGGUAAAGGCCUACCAAGGCGACGAUCCGUAGCUGGUCUGAGAGGAUGAUCAGCCACACUGGAACUGAGACACGGUCCAGACUCCUACGGGAGGCAGCAGUGGGGAAUAUUGGACAAUGGGCGAAAGCCUGAUCCAGCCAUGCCGCGUGUGUGAAGAAGGCCUUCGGGUUGUAAAGCACUUUAAGCGAGGAGGAAUGGCUGAGGGUUAAUAACCUUCAGCAGUGACGUUACUCGCAGAAUAAGCACCGGCUAACUCUGUGCCAGCAGCCGCCGUAACAC
rnacentral:rRNA from 1 species